rnacentral:rRNA from 1 species
UACGUAGGGGGCAAGCGUUGUCCGGAUUUAUUGGGCGUAAAGAGCGUGUAGGCGGCUUUGCAAGUCCGUUGUGAAAACUCGAGGCUCAACCUCGAGACGCCGGUGGAAACUGCAAAGCUAGAGUCCGGAAGAGGAGAGUGGAAUUCCCGGUGUAGCGGUGAAAUGCGCAGAUAUCGGGAAGAACACCUAUGGCGAAGGCAGCUCUCUGGGACGGUACUGACGCUGAGACGCGAAAGCGUGGGGAGCGAACAGG